UACGUAGGGUGCAAGCGUUGUCCGGAAUUAUUGGGCGUAAAGCGCACGUAGGCGGUCUUUUAAGUCGGGGGUGAAAUCCUGGAGCUCAACUCCAGAACUGCCUUCGAUACUGGAAGACUUGAGUCCGGGAGAGGUGAGUGGAACUGCGAGUGUAGAGGUGAAAUUCGUAGAUAUUCGCAAGAACACCAGUGGCGAAGGCGGCUCACUGGCCCGGUACUGACGCUGAGGCACGAAAGCUAGGGGAGCAAACAGG
rnacentral:rRNA from 1 species